rnacentral:rRNA from 1 species
UACGUGGGGACCAAGCGUUGUUCGGAUUUACUGGGCGUAAAGCGCGUGUAGGCUGCUCGGAAAGUCGGAUGUGAAAGCCCUGGGCUUAACCUAGGAAGUGCAUUCGAAACUUCCGAGCUGGAGUUCUGGAGAGGAAGGCGGAAUUCUCGGUGUAGAGGUGAAAUUCGUAGAUAUCGAGAGGAACACCGGUGGCGAAGGCGGCCUUCUGGACAGUGACUGACGCUGAGACGCGAAAGCGUGGGGAGCAAACAGG